rnacentral:rRNA from 1 species
GACGAACGCUGGCGGCAGGCCUAACACAUGCAAGUCGAGCGGAGCGGCGGACGGGUGAGUAAUGCCUAGGAAUCUGCCUGGUAGUGGGGGACAACGUCCGGAACCGGGCGCUAAUACCGCAUACUAUCAGAUGAGCCUAGGUCGGAUUAGCUAGUUGGUGGGGUAAAGGCCUACCAAGGCGACGAUCCGUAACUGGUCUGAGAGGAUGAUCCGUCACACUGGAACUGAGACACGGUCCAGACUCCUACGGGAGGCAGCAGUGGGGAAGAUUGGACAAUGGGCGAAAGCCUGAUCCAGCCAUGCCGCGUGUGUGAAGAAGGUUUUCGGAUUGUAAAACACUUUAAGUUGGGAGGCGUUACCAAAAGAAUAAGCACCGGCUAACUUCGUGCCAGCCGCCGCGGUAAUUC